rnacentral:rRNA from 1 species
CCUACGGGGGGCUGCAGUAAGGAAUAUUGGUCAAUGGACGAAAGUCUGAACCAGCCAUGCCGCGUGGAGGAUGAAGGUCCUCUGGAUUGUAAACUUCUUUUAUAUGGGACGAAAAAAGGCCUUUCCAGGUCGUCUGACGGUCCCAUAUGAAUAAGCACCGGCUAACUCCGUGCCAGCAGCCGCGGUAAUACGGAGGGUGCAAGCGUUAUCCGGAUUCACUGGGGCGAAGGGGGGCGUAGGAGGCAGUGUAUAAAGCCCCGAGCUUAACUUGGGAACUGCCAUUGAUACUAUCAGUCUUGAAUACCGUGGAGGUCAGCGGAAUAUGUCAUGUAGCGGUGAAAUGCUUAGAUAUGACAUAGAACACCAAUUGCGAAGGCAGCUGGCUACACGAGUAUUGACACUGAGGCACGAAAGCGUGGGGAUCAAACAGGAUUAGAUACCCGAGUAGUC